CUCGCAUCAUUUCUCUUCCUUUUACUAAUAUUUUUUUCUCCAAUUUGGCUUAAUUUUCAAGCCAAUUUACCUAAUUUUCUUUUUUUUUUUUUGGUAACUAUUUGCUAUAUCUAUUGGUGGUUGUAUUGUUUUGUUCGAUUUGUGUGGAAGUCCUAAAAUUUUUAGUUAAACAUUAUUUUUUAUUUAUAUACAUUUUACUUUCCUGGUCAAGUCACUCAAUUUAUUUUUUUUUAGUUUUAAAUUUAGUUUCUAAUUCUACCGUUAAUUGUUAGAAUGAUUUGAUGAAGUACUUAAAUGGUCGUUGUGAAGACUUGUACAAUAAAACUUUCGAUAUAUUACUUUGACGAAAAUUGAAUGGAAAUAAGAACAAAAUUGUCUUCCAAAUUGGUAAAAUUAUGUUAACAAUUCAAAUAUUCGCAAUUGCUUCUCAAUCUGCACUCCCAACUAGUGGUUGGAUUCUUGAUUUCUUUAGGAGUUCAUUAAGUGAAAAGAUGGUUGCGCCAAUUAGUAUCAAAUAAGAGGUUAAAACUAAACUAUUUUUAUUAUGUUGUUGCAUUGUAAUGAUUAGAAGUCAAACCAAAUCGAAAAAGGUGAUUUGGUUUAGUUAGGUUUGAAAUUAAAGUAAAUUGGUUCAAUUUGUAAAAAAUGAUGAAUAUACAAUCAUUCUAUCGAUAACAAUCCUG
rnacentral:lncRNA from 1 species